rnacentral:tmRNA from 1 species
GGGGACGACAUGGCUUCGACGCUGGUUGCGAACCCUUGGGUGCAUGUCGAGAUGGCAGCCAAUCUCGUAAAUCCAAAGCUGCAAUGCAAUAGUCGCAAACGAUAACGACUACUCCGUACAACUAGCAGCGUAAGCUGCUUUGUACCGUCCUGACUGGGUCGCCCGUAGCCCAGAGCUACAUCUCAGGACGUCAUCGCUUACGGGAUGCUCCGUUAACCAGAGUUCACUGUUUAACGGCUAAGAUUUAAAGAACUCGUCUCUUACACCCUGACCUUCGGGUCGUUUGAGAUUAAAUUAAUAGAAGGACACUAAGCAUGUAGAUCUCGAGGCAGAGUGCCGGCGGACGCGGGUUCAAUUCCCGCCGUCUCCACCA